GGGAGCGUUCUGUAAGCCUGCGAAGGUGUGCUGUGAGGCAUGCUGGAGGUAUCAGAAGUGCGAAUGCUGACAUAAGUAACGAUAAAGCGGGUGAAAAGCCCGCUCGCCGGAAGACCAAGGGUUCCUGUCCAACGUUAAUCGGGGCAGGGUGAGUCGACCCCUAAGGCGAGGCCGAAAGGCGUAGUCGAUGGGAAACAGGUUAAUAUUCCUGUACUUGGUGUUACUGCGAAGGGGGGACGGAGAAGGCUAUGUUGGCCGGGCGACGGUUGUCCCGGUUUAAGCGUGUAGGCUGGUUUUCCAGGCAAAUCCGGAAAAUCAAGGCUGAGGCGUGAUGACGAGGCACUACGGUGCUGAAGCAACAAAUGCCCUGCUUCCAGGAAAAGCCUCUAAGCAUCAGGUAACAUCAAAUCGUACCCCAAACCGACACAGGUGGUCAGGUAGAGAAUACCAAGGCGCUUGAGAGAACUCGGGUGAAGGAACUAGGCAAAAUGGUGCCGUAACUUCGGGAGAAGGCACGCUGAUAUGUAGGUGAAGUCCCUUGCGGAUGGAGCUGAAAUCAGUCGAAGAUACCAGCUGGCUGCAACUGUUUAUUAAAAACACAGCACUGUGCAAACACGAAAGUGGACGUAUACGGUGUGACGCCUGCCCGGUGCCGGAAGGUUAAUUGAUGGGGUCAGCGCAAGCGAAGCUCUUGAUCGAAGCCCCGGUAAACGGCGGCCGUAACUAUAACGGUCCUAAGGUAGCGAAAUUCCUUGUCGGGUAAGUUCCGACCUGCACGAAUGGCGUAAUGAUGGCCAGGCUGUCUCCACCCGAGACUCAGUGAAAUUGAACUCGCUGUGAAGAUGCAGUGUACCCGCGGCAAGACGGAAAGACCCCGUGAACCUUUACUAUAGCUUGACACUGAACAUUGAGCCUUGAUGUGUAGGAUAGGUGGGAGGCUUUGAAGUGUGGACGCCAGUCUGCAUGGAGCCGGCCUUGAAAUACCACCCUUUAAUGUUUGAUGUUCUAACGUGGACCCGUGAUCCGGGUUGCGGACAGUGUCUGGUGGGUAGUUUGACUGGGGCGGUCUCCUCCUAAAGAGUAACGGAGGAGCACGAAGGUUGGCUAAUCCUGGUCGGACAUCAGGAGGUUAGUGCAAUGGCAUAAGCCAGCUUGACUGCGAGCGUGACGGCGCGAGCAGGUGCGAAAGCAGGUCAUAGUGAUCCGGUGGUUCUGAAUGGAAGGGCCAUCGCUCAACGGAUAAAAGGUACUCCGGGGAUAACAGGCUGAUACCGCCCAAGAGUUCAUAUCGACGGCGGUGUUUGGCACCUCGAUGUCGGCUCAUCACAUCCUGGGGCUGAAGUAGGUCCCAAGGGUAUGGCUGUUCGCCAUUUAAAGUGGUACGCGAGCUGGGUUUAGAACGUCGUGAGACAGUUCGGUCCCUAUCUGCCGUGGGCGCUGGAGAACUGAGGGGGGCUGCUCCUAGUACGAGAGGACCGGAGUGGACGCAUCACUGGUGUUCGGGUUGUCAUGCCAAUGGCACUGCCCGGUAGCUAAAUGCGGAAGAGAUAAGUGCUGAAAGCAUCUAAGCACGAAACUUGCCCCGAGAUGAGUUCUCCCUGACCCUUUAAGGGUCCUGAAGGAACGUUGAAGACGACGACGUUGAUAGGCCGGGUGUGUAAGCGCAGCGAUGCGUUGAGCUAACCGGUACUAAUGAACCGUGAGG
rnacentral:rRNA from 1 species